rnacentral:lncRNA from 1 species
CAUUCAAUGGACAGUCUUGGUGGACUAGCUGGUGAUGACAGAAAUCUAUGAAAACCCAGAAAUGUGAUGGCCAACUCUAUUCAGGCCUUCAGCUGUAUACGUGUACAAACACAAAGGAGGUGUGUUGACACCAGUGCCUUAUUCAGUGACCGACAGAUAUCCAUAGGCUGA